UACGUAGGCAGCGAGCGUUGUUCGGAGUUACUGGGCGUAAAGAGUGCGUAGGCGGUUUCGCAAGUUUGGUGUGAAAUCUCCCGGCUUAACUGGGAGGGUGCGCCGAAAACUGCGAGGCUUGAGAGUGGGAGAGGUUGGUGGAAUUCCCAGUGUAGAGGUGAAAUUCGUAGAUAUUGGGAAGAACACCGGUGGCGAAGGCGGCCAACUGGACCACAACUGACGCUGAGGCGCGAAAGCGUGGGGAGCAAACAGG
rnacentral:rRNA from 1 species